UGGGGAAUCUUGCACAAUGGAGGAAACUCUGAUGCAGCGACGCCGCGUGAGCGAUGAAGCCCUUCGGGGUGUAAAGCUCUUUCGGCAGGGAAGAUAAUGACGGUACCUGCAGAAGCAGCUGCGGCUAACUACGUGCCAGCAGCCGCGGUAAUACGUAGGCAGCAAGCGUUGUUCGGAGUUACUGGGCGUAAAGGGUGCGUAGGCGGGCUUUUUAAGUUUGGUGUGAAAUCUCCCGGCUCAACCGGGAGGGUGCGCCGAAUACUGAGAGGCUAGAGUGCGGGAGAGGAAAGUGGAAUUCCUGGUGUAGCGGUGAAAUGCGUAGAUAUCAGGAGGAACACCGGUGGUGUAAACGGCUUUCUGGACCGUAACUGACGCUGAGGCACGAAAGCGUGGGUAGCAAACAGGAUUAGAUACCCUGGUAGUCCACGCCCUAAACGAUGCAUAUUUGGUGUGGGCCAUUCAUUUGGUCUGUGCCGGAGCUAACGCGUUAAAUAUGCCGCCUGGGGAGUAC
rnacentral:rRNA from 1 species